CUUGACACUGAACAUUGAGCCUUGAUGUGUAGGAUAGGUGGGAGGCUUUGAAGUGUGGACGCCAGUCUGCAUGGAGCCGGCCUUGAAAUACCACCCUUUAAUGUUUGAUGUUCUAACGUUGGCCCCUUACCGGGGUUGCGGACAGUGUCUGGUGGGUAGUUUGACUGGGGCGGUCUCCUCCUAAAGAGUAACGGAGGAGCACGAAGGUUGGCUAAUCCUGGUCGGACAUCAGGAGGUUAGUGCAAUGGCAUAAGCCAGCUUGACUGCGAGCGUGACGGCGCGAGCAGGUGCGAAAGCAGGUCAUAGUGAUCCGGUGGUUCUGAAUGGAAGGGCCAUCGCUCAACGGAUAAAAGGUACUCCGGGGAUAACAGGCUGAUACCGCCCAAGAGUUCAUAUCGACGGCGGUGUUUGGCACCUCGAUGUCGGCUCAUCACAUCCUGGGGCUGAAGUAGGUCCCAAGGGUAUGGCUGUUCGCCAUUUAAAGUGGUACGCGAGCUGGGUUUAGAACGUCGUGAGACAGUUCGGUCCCUAUCUGCCGUGGGCGCUGGAGAACUGAGGGGGGCUGCUCCUAGUACGAGAGGACCGGAGUGGACGCAUCACUGGUGUUCGGGUUGUCAUGCCAAUGGCACUGCCCGGUAGCUAAAUGCGGAAGAGAUAAGUGCUGAAAGCAUCUAAGCACGAAACUUGCCCCGAGAUGAGUUCUCCCUGACUCUUUAAGGGUCCUGAAGGAACGUUGAAGACGACGACGUUGAUAGGCCGGGUGUGUAAGCGCAGCGAUGCGUUGAGCUAACCGGUACUAAUGAACCGUGAGGCUUAACCUUACAACGCCGAAG
rnacentral:rRNA from 1 species